AUUCCCUGUUAUCUACACUGUGUGGAAGACAUCUUUUCAGAGUCUAUGCAUGGCUGAAGGGCACAGUUCCUGUAGCUGUUUACACUGGUGAGCCAGAUGGGUCUUCUCAGAGCCCUACCAACUGUCUUGGAGGAAUUCUAGUAUUGUAAUAACAGAACCUGGUUGCUGCCCAGAAAUAAAGGAAAAGAAUUUUCAGAAUGACAGUCCUUAUAACCAGAUGCUUAUCAGCAUCCUUCACAAUGUCCUGAAGAUAAAUUUCUACAAGGUGGAGUCACAGGAGAAAAUCCAAAGAGGAGUAAAAAAUAAUAAUGCUGAUGUCAUGUUAGAGUGGAGGCCCUGGACACUGUUGUGGACCCAGUCUCAAGUUUCUGCUACAGUUAGAAGAUGUGGAAGUGAUCAGGUGCAAAUCGAAUUUUUCACACAAGCGAAGCCCGAGUCAGCAUGGGGGGCGGUGGCGGAGGGGCAGGGAGAGACUGUCAUUGAUAGAGAGUUACUUAGGACACAGUCAGCAGGGCUGGGAUACAGCUACAGUUUUAUAUACAUUCAUGGGUAUAGAAAACAUGGACAUCAAGGCCUUUGUAGGAAAAAGUUUGGUCAUUACUGA
rnacentral:lncRNA from 1 species